AGACUCUGCUUCCGUUUCUACCACUGCACCUAUAUGCUUUGACAGAGCACUAAUGUUAGCGGUGGUUUAUAUACGCCUUAGCAGAUGGAAUAAACCGAUGCAGAAAGAGCAUAUGCUUCAAGGCUUAUGGAAAGCCAUAUUCCAUCGUCCCCGUCUCUUGUUGGUAAAUGUGGAGAAAAGCAAUGCAAAGGAGAUGCUGUCUAAAAGAUGGAAUGGACUUUUUUCAGAAUCAUGAAUCGGCAUAUCCUUAGUGAUAUUCCUCCGAGUUAUUUUGUUGCCUUUUCAAAGCUAGGAAUUUCAUCCUCUUCAUUGAGAAGGUCAGUCAAGGUUGAGGGGCACCGACAAAGUAUACUUCAACAAGGACUGUAUUGUGCUGUUGGGGUACCUAAAUUGGGAGAUGGGCUGUGAUUUCACUACUCUUUUAAGGAUUUCCAUGCCUUGCACGCACUUGUGCAGGUCCCU